UACGUAGGCAGCAAGCGUUGUUCGGAAUUACUGGGCGUAAAGGGUGCGUAGGCGGUUGGCUAAGUUUGGUGUGAAAUCUCCCGGCUUAACUGGGAGGGUGCGCCGAAAACUGGCUGGCUAGAGUGUGGGAGAGGGAAGUGGAAUUCCUGGUGUAGCGGUGAAAUGCGUAGAUAUCAGGAGGAACACCUGAGGUGUAGACGGCUUCCUGGACCAUUACUGACGCUGAGGCACGAAAGCGUGGGGAGCAAACAGG
rnacentral:rRNA from 1 species